UACGUAGGGUGCGAGCGUUGUCCGGAAUUAUUGGGCGUAAAGAGCUUGUAGGCGGUUUGUCGCGUCUGCCGUGAAAGUCCGGGGCUCAACUCCGGAUCUGCGGUGGGUACGGGCAGACUAGAGUGAUGUAGGGGGAGACUGGAAUUCCUGGUGUAGCGGUGAAAUGCGCAGAUAUCAGGAGGAACACCGAUGGCGAAGGCAGGUCUCUGGGCAUUAACUGACGCUGAGGAGCGAAAAGCAUGGGGAGCGAACAGG
rnacentral:rRNA from 1 species